GUGAGACAGGUGCUGCAUGGCUGUCGUCAGCUCGUGUUGUGAAAUGUUGGGUUAAGUCCCGCAACGAGCGCAACCCUUAUCCUUUGUUGCCAGCGGUCAGGCCGGGAACUCAAAGGAGACUGCCAGUGAUAAACUGGAGGAAGGUGGGGAUGACGUCAAGUCAUCAUGGCCCUUACGACCAGGGCUACACACGUGCUACAAUGGCGCAUACAAAGAGAAGCGACCUCGCGAGAGCAAGCGGACCUCAUAAAGUGCGUCGUAGUCCGGAUUGGAGUCUGCAACUCGACUCCAUGAAGUCGGAAUCGCUAGUAAUCGUGGAUCAGAAUGCCACGGUGAAUACGUUCCCGGGCCUUGUACACACCGCCCGUCACACCAUGGGAGUGGGUUGCAAAAGAAGUAGGUAGCUUAACCUUCGGGAGGGCGCUUACCACUUUGUGAUUCAUGACUGGGGUGAAGUCGUAACAAGGUAACCGUAGGGGAACCUGCGGUUGGAUCACCUCCUUACCUUAAAGAAGC
rnacentral:rRNA from 1 species